ensembl:lincRNA
GCGGGGAGCAGCAUCCACAGCCUUGAGGGGGACCCUGAGGGGUGCAGUAGCGUUGAGAGCUGUCGCGGUUGCGGUGUUGUCGGAUAGUUCCUUUAAAAAUGGCUCGCUAAAGAACUGGACGAGACAAACCAAAAAAGGUGUCAAGAGUUUAUUUGACAAUGAGGGGUGAGGCGUGAAAAACAAGCUCUGCAGAGCAAACUUGGACCAAACAAAGAGAGAAAGGAGGAAAAAAAGAGCGAAACUAGAAGUACACUCCGGGUCUGGGAGACCCAGGACAGGCUACCGCGAAGAGUCAGGACGCGGAGCGCCUCCUGGAGUCCGGUCUUCUUUAUGCUGUCCACAUCUCCGGGGAGCUCUGAGACGUUCUCUACACAAAGAGAUCCUGCAAACCAUCUGGCUUCGCCCUGGGAUCUUGAAAUUGACAGGUCCCGCCCACUCCUCCGGCCAGCUUUGCCUUACCCGACCUCCUGCCUCAGCUGUACUCAGAGGCCCUCCUCGGUGGGACCCCUGGCCUUCCAGUGCCCUAGAUUUAUGACUCACAGCAAGCUCUCCAGCUUUUCUGAAUCUCAGAACAUUACAUGGCACAAUGCGUGGGAAAUGCCUGGCACAUACUAAGCCCUCCACCAAUAUAACAGCUUCGUUCCCCAGAUCUAGAGCAGGAGGGGUCUAGGCCAUGGCAAUCUGCCCCAUGAGUCUUGGAAGGGCCUCUGGAUUUGGAGGCCUCACAAUGGGCUAGAACUCUACCUCACUCAGGGUUCUCAACCACUGGGACUCUUCUGCUGUCCCAGGGCGGGGAGGAAGGGCCCGGGACAAGGUGCUGGAGGGAAUAUCCCCCUGGAUUUUAUAUUCCUUCACUGGUGUGCUUGAAACGCCUAAGCUCCCACAAGACCUUUUGGGUGGCUGCCACUGGCCAGCAGCCUGUCUCUCUGCCCACCCCAAAGGCUGCUCUGCUCCUAAUCAUAUCUGUAGUUAUGGGUGUGGCCGGGCGGUUCUUCAAGUUCUUUAGGCAGAUUUGGCAAAGGAUGGCCUGUUGGGUUGGCUUCUGGAAAUGCCAAAUGAAGCAGGCCAUCUUGAAACACUCUGGCUCUAAGAAACAUACGUUGAAGGGGGUGGGGAAGACUCCCCCACAGCUGGAGAUUUGCAAGUUGACCAAGUCCCCUGGAGAAGCUAAGCUCCCCAGGGAGCAGCAGUCCUCUGGAGUGUCUGAGCCCUCUGUGCUGGCCAGUUCCACAGACAGGACCCGGAUUGGGUUGAGCCACAAGAGCCGCUCUUUGCUGCGGGUGCCCCGGACGGCCGUGCGGUCAGCUUCCAUGAUCAUGCUCUCUGCCCUGCAGUCCAGCUGGCAAAUGUGCUGGUGGAAGCCAUCUGCCAGCUCUGCCUCCAUUUCCUCCCAGUUGAGGACCUCGUCCCCUCUGGACACGCCCGAGGCCGAGCUGCUGCGAGAGGUGUACCUGGUGCUGUGGGCCAUUCGGAAGCAACUUCGGCACCUGGCCCGCCGACAGGAGAGACACAGAAGCCACCACCACGUCAGGACCUACUCCUCUGCCUUGGCCGAACCAGUGCUAGAACUGAAGAAGGAUGCUAGAAGUCCCCUACACAGGACAGCCUUGCCAGAUCACAGGAGUUCCCACAAUCUGAAAAGGCUUCACCAACACAAGGGCCACUCCUACCCACUACCUUCAGCAUCAGUCCUGUGAUGUCCAGCACUCACACCUGUGAAGCCCGGAGGUCACAGCACACGGGGCACUCUGCACCACAGCUGUCUCCAGUACAAGCCCACA